CUGCUCGCUUUGGCAGCACAUAUACUAAAAUUGGAAUGAUACAGAGAAGAUUAUCAUGGCCCCUGCACAAUGAUGACAGAAAAAUAACAGUCUCAACUUAAU